rnacentral:rRNA from 1 species
UUUUCCGCUAUCCCCUUACUAGACGCUUUGUGUGUUUUUUAUAGGGCGCCAAACACCCAAACCUCCGGUGAAAAUAUUCGCUUCCCUGCGCUUUUUUCUAAAAGCUAUAAAAAUUAUUUCCCAACGAACAAAAAAAAUUGGUUUGGUCCCCCGGCGGGGCCUGGGUUCGGGGUUGAAACCCCCCGGGGGGGACCCGCCGAGCAAACGGUUGGGAAACUUCAACCCGGGUUGGGAGUGGUUCCUCGUAUACCUUCGGUAAGGGGGCCCUGGGGAGGGAUCAUGUGGCGCGGGUUUACAAUUCCCAAACCCAAUGUGAACGUUACCAAACUGUUGCUUGGGGGGGGUCACGCCCCGGGUGGGUCGCAGCCCCGGAACCAGGCGCCCGCCGGAGGAACCAACCAAAUUCUUUCUGUAGUCCCCUGGGGGAGGUAUUUUUUACCGCUCUGAGCAAAAAUUCAAAAUGAAUCCAAACUUUCAACCACGGAUCUCUUGGUUCUGGCAUCGAUGAAGAACGCCGCGAAAUGCGAUAAGUAAUGUGAAUUGCAGAAUUCCGUGAAUCCUCGAAUCUUUGAACGCCCAUUGCGCCCGCCCGUAUUCUGGCGGGCAUGCCUGUCCGAGCGUCAUUUCAACCCUCGAACCCCUCCGGGGGAUCGGCGUUGGGGAUCGGGACCCCUCACACGGGUGCCGGCCCCUUAAUACCGUGGCGGUCUCGCCGCAGCCUCUCCUGCGCAGUAGUUUGCGCAACUUGCACCGGGAGCGCGGCGCGUCCACGUUCGUAAAACACCCAACUUUCUGAAAUGGUGACCUUGGAUCACGGUAGGAAUUCCAUCGCUGACUUGCUUUCCAUAGCCCGAGAAA